UACAACUCUUAGCGGUGGAUAUCUUGGCUCUCGCAACGAUGAAGAACGCAGCUAACUGCGAUAACUAAUGUGAAUUGCAGGACUUCGUGAAUCAUUGAGUCUUUGAACGCAAGUUGCGCUCAUGUCCGGGUGGAUGUGAGCAUGCCUGUUUGAGUGUC
rnacentral:rRNA from 1 species